rnacentral:piRNA from 1 species
AGAAUGCAUUAGAAACCCUGUAUUA